rnacentral:lncRNA from 1 species
AAAGAAGACUUAAAAAAAAAAAACAACCAACCAUGCAAACCAGUGACCAUGUUUCCUGGAUCUAUUUCAGGCUACAAGCUCCUUGCGGAUCCAGUUUUUUACUUUCUUGCCAUCCCCAGUAUUCUGGCCCAUAGCAAGCAUUCAAUAAACACUGAUUGACUGACAUCAAAAUGGAUUGGAGUCAAGAAGUGAGAGAGAGGGAAGCCUCGCAGGUCAU